GUUUGAUCAUGGCUCAGAUUGAACGCUGGCGGAAUGCUUUACACAUGCAAGUCGAACGGCAGCACGGGAGCUUGCUCCUGGUGGCGAGUGGCGAACGGGUGAGUAAUGCGUCGGAACGUACCGAGUAAUGGGGGAUAACGCAGCGAAAGUUGUGCUAAUACCGCAUACGCCCUGAGGGGGAAAGUGGGGGAUCGUAAGACCUCACGUUAUUCGAGCGGCCGACGUCUGAUUAGCUAGUUGGUGGGGUAAUGGCUCACCAAGGCGACGAUCAGUAGCGGGUCUGAGAGGAUGAUCCGCCACACUGGGACUGAGACACGGCCCAGACUCCUACGGGAGGCAGCAGUGGGGAAUUUUGGACAAUGGGGGCAACCCUGAUCCAGCCAUUCCGCGUGAGUGAAGAAGGCCUUCGGGUUGUAAAGCUCUUUCAGCUGGAACGAAACGGUACGCUCUAACAUAGCGUGCUACUGACGGUACCAGCAGAAGAAGCACCGGCUAACUACGUGCCAGCAGCCGCGGUAAUACGUAGGGUGCGAGCGUUAAUCGGAAUUACUGGGCGUAUAGCGUGCGCAGGCGGAUUGUUAAGCAAGACGUGAAAUCCCCGGGCUUAACCUGGGAAUGGCGUUUUGAACUGGCAGUCUAGAGUGCGUCAGAGGGGGGUGGAAUUCCACGUGUAGCAGUGAAAUGCGUAGAGAUGUGGAGGAACACCGAUGGCGAAGGCAGCCCCCUGGGAUGACACUGACGCUCAUGUACGAAAGCGUGGGUAGCAAACAGGAUUAGAUACCCUGGUAGUCCACGCCCUAAACGAUGUCAACUGGUUGUUGGGGGAGUGAAAUCCCUUAGUAACGAAGCUAACGCGUGAAGUUGACCGCCUGGGGAGUAC
rnacentral:rRNA from 1 species